rnacentral:ncRNA from 12 species
UCGCCCCUGGCGAUAAAGUAGCCGCCUGUGGCUGCCUUCCUCAUCACGAGGAUAGCCAGAGGCGUUUUC